UGUUGUUCUUCUUAUCACAUUCUUCAUGUAAUGCACCAAUAACCACCAUAUGUAUAUGUCCGUAAGUCGUACAACCUAACAACACUUCCGCCAUGGGCUUAAAUCUACAAUGGACCGAACUUGUGACUCUUGAACAUACUGGGUACACAAACCAACCACUGAAAGCAAAACUCAGGAAGUAGCUUGGACAAACCCACUACAAACUCAACUUCGAAAAAAGUCCUGCAAUCCUGUUGAGUGUGCAAUAUGGGAUCUUGAGGCAGUAUGGACAUGCUAUACAUGUAAAAAUAUCGUGUAUUCAAAAGUUGCUGAAUGAUUUUUUUCUUCUAAAUCGUACAAUAAAUGGAAUAACACUGUGAAGAUGCCCCUAUUGAAGCGUUCAUGCGUGUGCGAGUGUUAUUGAUAUCCUCUGUAACCAUAACCAUAUUGACCCUUUUUACCUCACCUUUGCGAAUCGUGUUUCAAUAAUGCAAUUAACAUAACUUUUACCAGAAUCAGAAAGCAACGAAUCAUGAAUGAAUGUUCCUGUCCCUGAAUAAACCAGUUAUCAAGAAGCACAAGUGGGCGAGAAGGUAAGCUCGAGAAGGUGUUGCUUGUGCUCCACAAGCAUUUGUGUGGCCAUCUGCUUACGUUUGCUAAUCUUGAUUCUCGUACGAGUCAAUUGUACACUACAGAUAAGAAACAGAAGUUGUGUAGACAAGACUUAAUUAAAAGGCUGCAUUUCCUUUCCAGCAAACGACCGCUACAACCGAUUUCCGGCCAGCAACCCCACUGAUACUGGUGCGCGACCGCGUUCACAUACCUGCCCGUUCCUUAUCGUGUUAUUAUCAUUGCCGAUGAUGAAGUUGACACAAAGGCCCAUGCAGCUGUGUGGCAGCGCGACACCGGGCACGCGUAGGAGGGUAGCGGGUUCGUUUCGUUGUUGCUAUUGUUGUUGUUGGUGGUGGUGCUGUUGGUGCUGCUGAUGUUGUUGUAGUUGCUUCUUCAAGUACACCUUCACUCUUGGAUUCAUUUAUACCGCGAGCAAUCCACUUUUGUGAUAAACGAAAAGUGUCACAGCAGCAAGCAGGUGUAACUGGCCGUUGUUGUAGGUGCCAUUUGAUACUACUAAAUGUCUCAAAUGAACAAAUCAUCGGAUCGGAGCAUCGGACACUGUGCAGCAUAUCGAUAGUGCCGCGACCGUGUUGGCGUCAUUAGCACAAUGGCAAGAAUUGUUUCUCCCCGUUUUCUCUCACAUUCCCUCGGAGCGGAUGUGCGUUACAGUUGUAUCGUUUCGCCGCAGUAUGGGUUGCAGUACGUGAAAGAAUCUGCAUUGUUUGACGCACAGGCACAACCACAUGGGCAGUGCAGUUUACGCACGUUCAGAAAAUCGAUCGCCAAAAUUUUGACGAUUUGAAUUUGUAGGUCAAUGUAGGUACGUGCCGAUUGUUGCAAAAAAAUAAUAAAUCAUAAAAAAUGCCUCCGUUAUGAAAGUGAUAUGUUAUUUAGAGUUCCAUUACAGGGUUUCUCUCAAUCCAGCUCAACAUCCUAAAGAAACAUUUCCAGCUCAUACAAAGUGUCUCACCGAUAUGAAUGGUAACUCGAUUGAUUUGCCAUUGGUUGUUUGGCUUGGACGUUCGAUGCACAUUUGACAAGUGUUGUUUGACAUGAUGAUAUAUAAAAUGUCAUUCAUAUGCAUAUUUAGCAACAAAUGAUUUAAAUUUUGAAUCCAAUAUUCAAGGAUCCAGGAAUCUUUAAUGGUUUAUGUUUCUUUAUCUACUUUUUUUCCGCUUUUGGUUGUAGUGAGGUGGUCAUCGAUAACUAGAGAUUCAGAUUCAAAGAUUCAUCAGUUAUCAACAUAGGAACCAAUAGAAAUCAUACUUUUCCUACGUGUCUGGCCCAAUUUAGUCAUCAUUGUCUUAAACCGACUGUAUUGUUACCCGAAACUUACUGUACAACUGUGCAAACGAGGCGACCCGAAUGGUCAAACAAUACUAUUUACAGCUUUUGAAAUCGAUAUGAAUAAAAACAAACCCUACGCAGUUCCUCUUUUGUCUGAUGCAUUUCCCUGCCGAUCAAAUUAACUGCAGUCGUCACAGUAGCGAAGAAUCUCAUUUAUGCCUGUCCCAAACCGGCGUACUUCCUUCCUUCCUUCCUUCCUUCAUUCCUUCCUUCCUUACAGACGCAGGGUCUUAAGUGUUCGAAUGGCCAGAACGACACAUUUUUGUUUGGCUUUUCAUCCUUUCUCACUUUGUGCCAUUUCGGGUGUGUGUGUGUGUUUUACUCGUUUGAAGGACUUUAAAUUUGACAUGCCACAGCACGGCACGGCGCAUGCAUCGUGUGAUUCCUAGAGUCUGUCCGGGAUGGCCGCCUCUGCCGCCUUGAGUUUAUUUUAGCGAGUUCUCGGUCGCUUUUCUUUUGCUUCUCUAGAUCCGGAUGCCCAAAUGGGAUGUGCUGGUGUAUGCGCGCGCUCUCGUGUGUGUGUGUAUGUGGGAAUGUGGCCGUUUGCCGCUUCCGCUUCUCCCGCUUCCCGUAUUGUGCCCUGCUGACAAAACGACUAAAUCAACUCCGACUUUCAAGUCAAGCUGAGAGACGACGACACUGUGGAAUUCUAACGGCCCUGCGCAAACUGAUGAUCCGCCAUUUCCCCUACAGGAAACCCGGGACCUCGGGACGCUGCCACCUCGGCUCCUGGAAACGAAGAGAAGCAAAAAAAAAUACCGGGCAACAUCUGGAGCGCACAUGCCGCACAGGCUCGCCGCACUGCUGCUGCUCUGUUGCUCCGGCAGUGAUCCGGGAUUUUGAAUCAGCGGUCCGUGACGGACGUGGCAAGCAAGAUGUGUGCCUUAAGACAACCCGUAGACAAGCGGCGACAAUGCGACAACGCGGCAACGGCAGUCAGUGUACGGUCGUCGUUUGCCGUUCCUUCCGACAUGCCAGCCAGCCAGUUCCUUUCGGGGCGCUUCAACAAACGCCGCGCGCACCAUGCACACACCCUUGCCAAGCGCAGAACGGCUUCAUCGUCAUUCUAAACUGUACGCUGCGUGUCCCUCAUCCCCACCUCUCUCCACACCCCUUUUUGGUCUAAUCAUUUGUGAUGGAAAUCCUGGAUGGAGGAGAAAUAAAUGGCGUAUGCUUGUGAUCUGUUGUAA